rnacentral:lncRNA from 1 species
AUGUCCCUGGGUGUCCCUCGGUGUCCCUGGGUGUCCCUGGGUGUCUCCGGGUGUCCCUGGGUGUCCCUGGCUGUCCCUGGAUGUCCCUGGGUGUCCCUGGGUGUCCCUGGGUGUCCCUCGGUGUCCCUGGGUGUCCCUUGGAUGUCCCUGGGUGUCCCUGGGUGUCCCUGGGUGUCCCUCGGUGUCCCUCGGUGUCCCUUGGUGUCCCUGGGUGUCCCUGGAUGUCCCCGGGUGUCCCUGGGUGUCCCUCGGUGUCCCUGGAUGUCCCUGGGUGUCCCUGGGUGUCCCUGGGUGUCCCUCGAUGUCCCUCGGUGUCCCUCAAUGUCCCUGGGUGUCCCUGGGUGUCCCUCGGUGUCCCUGGGUGUCCCUCGGUGUCCCUGGGUGUCCCUGGGUGUCCCUGGGUGUCCCUGGGUGUCCCUGGAUGUCCCUGGGUGUCCCUGGGCGUCCCUCGAUGUCCCUCGGUGUCCCUCGGUGUCCCUGGAUGUCCCUGGGUGUCCCUGGGUGUCCCUGGGUGUCCCUGGAUGUCCCUCGGUGUCCCUCGAUGUCCCUGGAUGUCCCUGGGUGUCCCUGGGUGUCCCUCGAUGUCCCUCGGUGUCCCUCGGUGUCCCUGGGUGUCCCUGGGUGUCCCUGGGUGUCCCUGGGUGUCCCUCGGUGUCCCUCGGUGUCCCUGGGUGUCCCUGGGUGUCCCUGGGUGUCCCUGGGUGUCCCUCGGUGUCCCUGGGUGUCCCUGGGUGUCCCUGGCUGUCCCUGGAUGUCCCUCGGUGUCCCUGGGUGUCCCUCGGUGUCCCUGGAUUUGGGGUCAUUCCCACCUGGAAUGGGGCUGGGAAUGAGGGAAAAGUGGGGGGAGAAAAAGAAAAAUCACCCCAUAAAUUGAAUAUUUUUGUCCCCCAUUCCCUAAAAAUCAUCCCCGGGCGGGAUUUGGGGUCGUUCCCACCUGGAAUUCCCAGGGAAUUCCCAAACCGUGUUGGGGUUUUUCGGGACGCGGUGGGGGAGGUGUCCCCACGGGGAGGGGACACGCCCGAGUGUCACCCGCGGGUUGUGCAAAGGACGCGGCUUCCGGGGGUGGAGAGAACAAAAAACCCCAAAGAGCCCCAGAAACACCCGAGAACCCUCAAGAACCCAAAAAAACCCCCAAAACAAAACAAAACAAAACCCCCCAAAAAUGCCCCAAAACCCCCAAAAAACAAAACAAAACAAAACCCAAAAAAACCCCCCAAAAAACCCCAAAAGAACCCAACCAAAACCCCAAAUUACACCAAAAAAACUCAAAAAAAAACCCCAAACUCCAAAAAAAUUCCCCGAAGAACCCCCAAAAAAUCCCAAAGAACCCCCAAAAAAAUCCCAAAGAACACCCAAAAAAUCCCAAAGAACAACAAAAAACCACGAAGAACCCCCAAAAAACCCACAAAGAACCCAAAAACCCUCAAAAUGCCCCAAAUAACCAAAAACAAACAGGAAAACAAAACCCAAAACUGA